GAGGAUUGUUAUUAUAUUAGUGUACAUUUCUGAGGUUAUAGAUCAGUCCUUGAAGUGGCAUGGCACUAAGUAGGAUAGGUCGGGAUGAGAUUGUGUAUAGACUGCGGUUAGUAUUUAGAGUUAGUGUGUCAGGGUGUUACAAAAUCAGGAGAUAAGGGUUGAACGGUUCAGAGUUUACCAAUUAAAGAUUAUGGUAUAAGGGCUUCAAGAUAGGAGGUUCAGAUUGGUGGUUGGGAGCUGCAUAGUAGAGAUUAGAUGGAGAGAUCAGGUGAGUAACAGGGUUAGGUUGAGAGGUCAGGAUUGCAGUGAAGGGUUAGGGUGAAAGGGUUAGUGAGGUUUAGGCUUAGGGUUACGGUAAAGGUUAGAGUAAGUUUAGAUUACAGCUUGAAGACUAUGUUGAGUGAAUUUUUGCAUAACUUGUAAAACGUGCAUCAAUGUUCAUUUCAUUUCCAAUAGUUUCCAAUUAAUUGUCCCUUCUUUAUUUUUAGAAACACAUGGGCUAGUAGGCUUCGUGUUCUUUUGCAUUUCCAGAACGAUGUCGCUGAACACUUCGUCUUCUUACUUUAAGUGGUGCAGUGGGACAGCCACCAGGGGGUGCGUUUCCAUCGUCCGCACCGUGAGCAGCAAGUGCCUGCAGUGCCCCCAGCCGCCAGCAGAGGGCGCGCCAGCCAAGCUUUUCUAAUUCCAAGGCCCCAGCCUCCUGCCCAUUUCCUCUGCGCAGGCUCCUGCAAGGGCAGGACCGGGGUUCUCCUCACCACAGACCAGGGGUUGCCCCUCACUUUGGGACACCUCGAGGCUGCAUCCAAGAACACACACAUAUCACCCGGAACAACUGUGACACCAUCAGACUCAGAGCUCUUUUAUAACUUGGAGCACACAGGUGACGUUUUCAGACUAACCCAACACCCGUCACACUCAUAUAAUCCCUGGAACACGUGUAUGUCCCUCAGAACACGUAAUGGCGAGAACUACUAUAACACCAUAAGACUAAUGCAACCCCUGUCACACAACCCCUAGAACACGCAUGUGUCCCUCAGGGAGCACAUAUCACCCAGAACUCCCCUAACACUGUCAGACUAACGCAACAACCAUCACACGUAUAUAACCCCUGGAAUACGCAUGUGUCCCUUGUAACACAAAUAUCACUUGGGAUGUGGACGUGGCCUUUGGAGCAUCUGCAGCACCAAGGAUGGGACCCUUCUCUUGCUGAGGUGCUGGGUUCAUAGCCUAUGCUGGGCUGGGUUUGGGCUGGAUUUGGCGUCUGUUACGAAGUAUGAUAUUGUUGUUUUUGCCUUUCUUAUGUGGUAUUGAUAGGGUCGUUUAAAAAGUAGUUGACUUCCCAGUAAUGUCAUCCUUCUGGGAAACUUGGACUUGCAGUUAGUAUGCCUUUUCCUUUCGCUCCGAUUCCCCAGCAGUUAUUGCCAUGCAAGAUGUGCAGCUUAACAGAAAACACCCCAGUGUAUUUCACCAAAAGUAGAAACACUCCUCCAGGUGACCUCUACGUAACCUUCAAAUCAGAAAAUACACGGCUCCUCUUUCAUUUCCUUUUUUUUUUGGAGAUGGAGUGCUGAUCUGUUGCCAGGCUGGAUUGUAGUGGUGUGAUGUCAGCUCACUGCAGUCUCCACCUCCUGGGUUCAAGGGAUUCUCCCAUCUCAGCCUCCUGAGUAGUGGGAUUUCAGGCACCACCAUGCACAGCUAAUUUUUUCUAUUUUUGGUGGAGACAGGGUUUCUCCAUGUUGACCAGGAUGGUCUUGAUCUUUUGAUCUUGUGACCCGCCUCGGCCUCCCACAGUGCUAGAAUUACAGGCAUG
rnacentral:lncRNA from 1 species